AAGUCGUAACAAGGUUUCCGUAGGUGAACCUGCGGAAGGAUCAUUAUCCUUUAGCGUAGUAUUACUUAUGAUACUACAAGCGCAGCACUUUUGUGUUCGCGUUAAAAUUCACAUCAAUGCUAGAUGCAUGUCUAGUGUUGACUACAAAUCCAUGUUUGCGUUAACAUGGUCGGGUACCUAAGUCUAUGCGACGUUGCAUUCAUUUGUGAUCGAGCAUACAUAAGCGGUGACAAGCCUUGUUGCCGUGUGGCUUAAUGAUUAUACGAGCUCCUCUCGCAUAACGCCCGUACUAGCAUAAAAAUAUAUUAUACUAUUUUUAAAAUCGCAUUAUUUUAUUUUGUGUAUCAUCAUGCUUCAUUUAUGAAACAUAUAAACACAAAUACAACCCUAUGCGGUGGAUCACUUGGCUC
rnacentral:misc_RNA from 1 species